rnacentral:rRNA from 1 species
UGGGGAAUAUUGGACAAUGGGGGGAACCCUGAUCCAGCCAUGCCGCGUGUGUGAAGAAGGCCUUAUGGUUGUAAAGCACUUUAAGCGAGGAGGAGGGUACUGGUAUUAAUACUACCAGGUACUGGACGUUACUCGCAGAAUAAGCACCGGCUAACUCUGUGCCAGCAGCCGCGGUAAUACAGAGGGUGCGAGCGUUAAUCGGAUUUACUGGGCGUAAAGCGUGCGUAGGCGGCUAAUUGAGUCGGAUGUGAAAUCCCCGAGCUUAACUUGGGAAUUGCAUUCGAUACUGGUUAGCUAGAGUGUGGGAGAGGAUGGUAGAAUUCCAGGUGUAGCGGUGAAAUGCGUAGAGAUCUGGAGGAAUACCAGUGGCGAAGGCGACCACCUGGGCUCAUACUGACACUGAGGUGCGAAAGCGUGGGGAGCAAACAGG